rnacentral:lncRNA from 1 species
CUGGGGAAUGAGCAGUGACCAUGGUAGGCACAGUCCCUAGGCUCACUGAGCUCUCAGUCAAGAGGGGGAAGCAAGCAAGUCACCAGACAGUGAUGACAGUGAUCAGAAGGAAACCCCCAGCAAGGCAUCAGGGUGGGCUUCCUGGUGGAGGUGACACCUGCCAGGAACAGACUCAUCCUGUUGCCAAAACUCCAGCUGCACCAUCUGCCUCUUUGCACUGUGAGCAGCUCAAAGGCAGGGCUGAUUGCACCUCAGCCACCCUCAUGUCCUCAGAGCUUCACCCAGGGCCUGGCACCACCCCCCCCCCCAAAGUAGAAUCUGCAGAAUAAGGAGGAAAAGGAAGAGGCAACAGGCCAAAUAACACCCUUGUACCUAAUAAAGUGGAUCUUGGAGACCGUGGCUCAUUUCUGCAGCCAAGUGGCUUCCUAACCCUGAACCCCAGCAUCACAAACCCCCCACCGCCUGUCACAGAAGAAGCUGGGCGGGAGGCCUCCCCUGCAGUGGCAGAGCCUUCCCUUACCACGCGUGUGUGGCCAAGCAUGACUGAGAAUGCGGCUCCUGCGGGCAGCUUGUCCCAGGUAGGAGGAGAAAGGGGCUGGGCCAAGCGUGCAGCCAGACCUGCUGAUGAGAAAGUCCCUCCUCCCUGGAGAGGAGUGGGUGAGGGGCAGAGCGAGGGGAGCAUCAGGAGAUGGUGUGAGGGUCCCCCCACUUCCCCAGAUGCUACAACCACCUUAUGAAGAAGGCUCUCUCAUCAUCAUCAUCAGGAGGCGGGAGGCCUUGCCCGACUCUAGAGCCGAGAUCUUUAACCGCCACACAAGGAACACGUGGAAGAGAUUUCACAAACCUCUUAUGCUGCAGUAGCAGAGAGCCCAAACCCCCACUGUCCUGACACUGCACAGGUUCACUUCUCCCCCAGGCCGGGGGUCCAGGGGGAUCAACAGGAAGGCCCUUCUCACUGUGGUCACCAGGGACCCGGCAGAUGGAGCCGUAGAGCAGCACAGGCUUCCUCCGUCACCAAGCAGGAGAACGCUCCUGCUGGACGUGACGCAUCACUUCUGCUCACUCUGCAUUGGCCUCAAGAUUGUGGCCGCACCACACUUCACAGGGCCAGAGAAGGAGAGAGCAUUCCAGAGAACUGGAAGAUUUAGGGACGGGCCCAAUGAUGACCACAACACUGAAUGAGGACCGAGACUUUCCAGAUGUUGGUUUCUGUCCCUGUGUGUUUGGUGCGAGUCAGCUGGACCUGGGUUAGAAUCUUCCCUCCAUUGCACACCAGCUGUGUGGCUUUGGACAAGUGACUGCUCCUCUCUUAGUCUUAGUUUCCUUGUCCGUCAAGUGGGGUACCUGCCAGCUGCCUCCCAGGAAGUAGAGGAUAUGAAAUGGAGUGUGUGAAGUACCCGGCACAGACUAGAGGCGUUGAGGCUAACGGGGGUCUUCACUGCUGCCACCUUCCUUCUGUCCCCAAGGCCAUCCAGGAGUGGCCAAGGCCGACCUCUGCUGUGUCCUGCUGUGGCUCCACCACCUGUAUGAGGUUCGGGAGGACCUGGUCCUGUCUCAGUCAAUGACGGUGAAGUUAAAGCAGGGUCAUCCAUAGUGGACGGGUUUCAGUGGAGCUUCUAGACUAAGACAGACUAAGAAGGAGGACCUGGUCACCCACUUCUGAAAAAAUUGGCCAUGCGAACCGUACGAAUAACAGCAGAGCGUUGAUACAGCACCAAAAGGUGAGAGGAUGGCGCAAAAAGACCAGAAUACAAAGUUUUUUCUCCGACUGAGGAAUGUGAAGUCCACAUUUGGUCAAAAUGGUGGCAAGGCGUCAAUUUUACGUUCUCAGUGGAGAAAGACAGAAACCUUAUAUUGGUGCUGCUUGGAGAAAUUCAGAGAAAGGGGCUCUGUCCCAUACUUGGGGAGAUUCAGGACGCAGAGAACAGCUCAAGGAAUCAAGACACAAAUGACAUGGACAACUCAGCAGGAAGAGGAAAUCUUGGGGAAAAGUGACCCAAAGAGCAGAAACUCCUGGGAACCCACGGAGAUGCUGACAAGGGAGCUGGAUUUCUCCCAGUGGGAAGGAGGAUGUCUGUCUGUCCAAGGAAGAAAGCCAAGAAAGGCUGACAAUGAACCAAGCAGGAGAGGGAAGGCGGCUGGAUGGAAUGGGUCCCUGAGGAGGUGAGGGGGCACACUCAGAGCACAGGGAGGAGCCCCUCCCCGUUUACCCAUCUGAGCCUCUCCCAUUUGAACUUCACCAGUGCCCUGGAGGAUUCUGCACAUGCAGAGACCAAGUCAGAGAGACUAUGUGACAUGCCCCAAAUCACCCGGCUACUAAAUGGGCAGGCAGAACUUCAUGUCUGCCCCUGCGGACUAGGAGGGGCGUGCUUUUUCUUCCAGGAUGCGAUGCCUCCUGCUACGACCACUGUAUGCCAGUUGUCUCUUCAUCUGUCUGGGGUCUUGCCCACCGUGUGUCCCUCAAGGCAACACCACAACCUACUCGUCUUUGUCUGCCUGGGCCCAGCAACAGUGCCCAGCACAGAGAAAGCUCUUAAAACCUCAGGAAAUUAAUCUCAGUCUGUUUUCACCAUGACCCCAAGAAACGGGCAAGGGCAGGACCCACUCCACCCAGAGAAGACAUCUCAGGGAAGAAACUGGCUUUGUCAGGACCAGAAACCAAAGUUUCAAGAUGUCCUCAGCUCCCCAACUUGGACCUGGGAAUGGAUAAAGGAGAGAGAGGGCCAACUGUGGCAUACAUAUUUCUCAAUAAACCUGUAGGAAAAGGAUUAUAAUUUCCAAUCAUGAAAUUGGGGAAGAACAAUUGAAGUGGGGCAGACAACUCAGAGGCUGCCUCUGCCCCAGGAUUGGUGAACCGAGUCCUUCCUGUCCCCCCUGACCCAGGAGGGUUAGCGACUGGGGAUGCGAGUGGAGGACGGACAAGACGUAGAAGAGGGAUCAAGGGGGAAGAGGACUGAGCUACCUACCAUGAGGAGCCACAGAGAGGACAGACUUCCUGGAAGAGAGAGUCCUGCAUUAGAGCAGAACAGAGCCCAGAGGAGAAAAAGAAAGUGGAGCAGGGAAAAUGGGAACAAUAGGAAACUUUGUGUUGAACAGCGGAAGGAAGAUGGCAUUAGCUGCAGGAGCCCCUUUAGGGCCUGUCAAAGGGAACUCUCCAGCCUACAAAACUGGGACACACAGAAUCCCAAAGUUGACUUCCCGCAAGGACCUGGGACAGACAUGAAAACAUCAGAAGAUGAUCGGGCUCCAGAGACCUUCAGCGGAAUACCGAAAAAACGUAAACCAGGCACGCCAGUUCCAGGGGUCCUUGACGUGGGGAGAGGCCAAGGACACUUCUCUUACAAUUGAUUGCUCUUUGCUGCUGAUGGAACGUCUUAUGCUCGAAAUCAGAAUUUGGUCCAAAAAAUUUUGAUGACUGAAAAUAUAUGAAAUUGAAACUCCAAAGCAUGAUUUAAAAGGCAUCCGCAGCCAAAAAGACAAAUGUGGAAGCCCCAGGGUUAGCAAAAAAAAAAACUAGUCCACCAAGGAAGCAUAGAUCCAGCCCUCUGGGUAAGUCUCUUUGUCAGCAGGGUCUUAAAUCCAAUGCAUAAAACGGCAGGAACUCGGGGCAGCCUGCCUGAGGCCUCACUCCCAAGCACGGAUAAGGGAAACAGAUAUACCCAGACUCCUAAGUGUGUGGGGAGGGGGCAGAGGUCAGUGCAUGCCUGCGCCUACACACAGGGUUUCUGGGGUAGUAAAAUUUGCUGCGUGUACCCGUCUACCAAUCUCCCCCUAAGAGAGCAGUUGGUUCCCUCAGCAAAGCCACUCUACCCUCGGGGUCCCCAUGGUGACUUCACCCUGAACCACAGCUUCCAGAUUCUGCCUUCCCAAAGAUCACAGGCCCCAGAAAGUUCUUUGAUUCAUACCCAUCCCCUCAUCUAUGUCUCGAGGGGCUGAGCCUCGUUUCCCAAACUGGUUGCCUCCUUAUUUCUCACUUUCCCCGCCCAAUGUCAUUUUACUGUGCGUCAGUGCUGAGUGAGAAUUUUUCCAUGGCCCUGGAACUGACACAAAGACCCACAGCUGGAAAUCACAGGCUCCAAUACCUCAUAUUCCAUGGAGAACUUCUGACAUCUGGAGCCUUACACUACCCUGGCCCCCAGCCUGGGACUUACUAAGAGUCAAAAAAGCCAGCCCAACACCAAUCAACCCCAAAACUAUCAUGCCCUGCCCUGGGGAAAAGGAGAAAAGUGGAAUCAUCAGCGUCGCUGGCUCUGUGGUCCUCCCACCAAAGAGAUUUUUCCUGAAUGCCGCCAUGGAUAAAGGAAGGGAGAUGCUUCUCCCACCCCCCAAGUCAAGUGAGGGGCUGUGGGAACCACGCAUAGAUUGGAGGUUCCAGUCCAAGAGGAGACUGGGAUCUCCCUCCCCUGACAGACG